UGUUUUCAAGUGUUGUAUUAAUUGUGAAAUUUUAUAUUUUUUAAAAAGCGUUGCGCAGUGUUCGGAUACAAUAAAACCAAUGGUAAGGAUAAAACGGUACUGAAACAAUGGAAGCCUUCGGAAGAAAUUUGCAGUUUGAAAUGGGUAAUUAUAGCAUUUUGAUUACAAUAAUUUUACUUUUAUAAUCAAACACUCUUGCAGGUUUAAGAUCGUGGAAUCCAACGAAGUUGCUACCUAGCGCUUUUCCCAGGAUGGAGUCUCGUUCCAAAAAAGAGAUGUUGACAACAAUGUUGAAGAAUACCGCCCCUGUUGAAGUACUUCAAGAAGACGAGGUUGGAGAGGCACCUCAAACCGCAGGAGAGGAGGUCAUCGAUGAAAAACGAGAAAAUACAGCAUUUGGCAACAGAAAUGUUAGUCAUAUUUGAUAUUGAUGAAGUAUCUUUUUCUUACAUAAAUAUGUGUAUGCUGACCACCUGUACGUAAAUGACACGUACAGUACGUAAAUUUGGAGCCAUGUACCGUGUACCGAAGUUUUAGCGAAAAUCACGAAAAUGUACGUAAAUUGAAACGGAGAAUAUUGAUGUACGUAAUUUGCGUUAAAACAACAAAAAAUUGCUAUACAAUUGUGUCCCACCCGUGACGAUGGAAUGAAUACCCCUAAUGCAAAUUAAAUAUAUUCACCCAGCUUUAACUAUGUUAAACUCGCCAUUAUGGCAACGCCGUUUGUGGAAUGCUUUUAUUGUAUUUGUUCGUGUUAAAGAGAAAUUACAUAUGUUAAAGCUCUUCUUAUUUACAUUUAUUCAUGUAUUUUCUACCAACAAUUUGUGGAACUUAUGCUGACAGGUGAUAUUGUGGAAGCGACGCUAUUGUGUGUGUACGUUGUAUUAUUUUUUUAAAAUGUCGCAAAAACGUGGAGUAAAUAUAUUUAACGAAAAAUUACGCGAAGAAUUUUCGUUUAUUAAGAAAGCGAAGACCGAAAGUGAUGUCCUUUGCGAAGUGUGCAACACGGGUUUUAGUAUUAUGCAUAGUGGUCGCUGAGAUAUUGAGUGGCAUAUUAAAUCAAAAAAUCACCAAAAUGCAUUGCACGCUGCCACGUCCAGCCACACACUCAAUAGAUAUUUAAAAAGUUCUACUUUGACCAGAACAGAUGCCCAUAUCGCGGCGUGUGAAGGCGUUUGGGCAUUUCAUGUGAUAAGUUCUAAUCACAGUUUUCGCUCGGCCGAUUGCGCUUCCAAAAUCAUUCGGAGUUGUUUCGCAAUGUCCAAAUUUUCUUGUGCGCGAUCGAAAUGCGAAGCCAUCGCAACCGGAGUGUUCGCACCGUUCGUAUUGCAAGAGCUCCAGAAAGACUUAAAUGACUGCCAUUUCUUCACUAUAUUGACAGACGCCUCUAAUCAUGGCAGCACAAAAAUGUUUCCGAUAUUAGUUGGCUUCUUUUCGGAAAAGGAUGAAAAUUAUAGACUUGGUAGAUGCACAUGGAGAAAGUUCCGAAAUAAUUGUAAAUUUGCUGAAUAGCGCUAUGAACAAAUUGAACAUAAAUAAGAAACUAGUUGCGUUUUGUGGAGAUAACGCGGCGUGUAAUUUUGGCAACGUUAAUCGAACCGGCACAAAUAAUGUGUUCUACAAACUGAAGCAGCUUUAUCCUGAAUUGAUUGGCGAUGGAUGUGCAGCGCAUAUUGUUCACAAUACUUUAAAAAAAGCUUGCGACAAAAUGCCUUUUGAUGUGGAGAUGAUUGUAGUCAAAAUUUAUUCACAUUUUUAUUUGUUCACCGUGCGUGUCGCAAAGUUGAAAAAAUUUUGUGAAUCCGUGGAUGUGGAAUAUAAAAAACUGAUAGGUUACAGCAAAACUCGUUACCUAGGCUUGUUGUCAUCAGUCGACUCAAUAUUAAGAAUUUUUGAUGGCCUUAAGGAGUAUUUUUUGGGAGAUCCCAACACCCCAAAUUCUUUGCUACUAUUUUUUGAAGAUCCAAGGGCCAAGAUGUGGCUGCUUUUCCUUCGUGAUCAAGCAUCUAUUUUCAACCGAACAGUUAAAGCAGUGGAAAGCGACAAUAUUAAUGCAAUGGAAGUUGGGCAUGCACUCAAUUCUUUUGUCCAAUCGCUUUAAUCUUGGAAAAAAGAAGCAUUUUGUUGUAUUUCUGCUGUUGACGAAAGAGUGUCAAAAGAAGAGAUGCAAGAUCUCUCACGUCAAUUCUAUGAAUCAUGUAUAAAAUAUAUUGAAAAGUGGAAAGAACAAUUUGACCAUAUUAUGAUUUUUGCCUGGUGUGCGCUUGAUCAACCACCGCAAUGGAAGUUUAUCGAAACCACCGCGAAGUACAUCGCAACCAAUAACCAUUUUGAUCUGGAAUCAUCCGAUACUGAUUUAUUCGAUCAGUUAACGUAUUUGAAAAGAUACGUAACCGAAGAGAAAAUCCAAUCGUGGGAAGGAAAUGGUACUGCCUCCGAUCAAUGCUGGGUUGAAAUUUUUCAACAUUUCGUCAAAAAGAAGGUUCCAUACAACCACAUGGUCAGGUAUAUUCUCUCCUUGCCAGGUACAUCAGCCACCGUUGAACGAGUAUUUUCCCUGAUCAAUCAGAUUUGGAACGAUGAAAAAUCACAAAUAAAGAUCGAAAUAUUGCGAGAUCUUUCAUAUGUUCGAUACAACAUUAAAAUGACUUGUAAAGAAUUUUUUGAAUUUUUAAAAAUGCAACCUAAAAUGUUGAAAGAAAUUGCAUCAAAUGAAAAAUACGCAUUGAAAAAUGCCAAUCAGAUCGACGAAAACAAAAAUAAGUAUGCUGAAAUUUGUAUGCAAAAAACGAAUUUGGAUAUCGUAAAAUAAACUGCUUUCUCCAUAACUUGACCAUAAAUUGAAAUCAAAUUAAAUUAAAUUGCAUUUGCAAGCACCGUUUUUUCAUUAAUUAAAAACUGUACAUAAUAUAAAUUUAUAGUAAUCUAACUAUCAUUAUAGAAAGAGGCAAGAAAAAAAAUUUUUGUGUACGUAAAUGAGAUCUUGAAAAGGUGGUCACCCUAAGUAUGUGUAUUUCUUACUCUUUUUAUACAAAGGCUGGAUAGUGUUGUUAGCACUUUGAAUAAGUGCAAAAACGAGCAGUUAGCAGAAAUUAAACGCCUCAAGAUUUCCAUUAAAACCGCGAAAUUCAAUAGAAAUAUUUUGGAGCAAAAACUUAGCUACAUAUAGCUCCACGUUUCACCAACGGCCAGGUAAGUGCCCAAUUUUUAAAAAGUGUGUUGCAGUUCAAGUAUAGGCUGCGUUCCUCCAUAUAUACUUGGUCACAGCGAAGGAGUGAUUACAGAAUAAGGAAAUGAUGAAGUCGACAACAUCCCAGAUUUGGAAGAGAAUUACUUAUCUCUACCCGGUAUCUAUCAAAAUAUUAAAAGUGCAUAGUAUUAUAAAUCUAAAACUAUAGAAAACAUUUUAAUAUAAAAAUGUACUUAUGUUAACAAAUGCAAAUAUGCACUUGCAUACAAAUUAGGUUUUUGCAUG